UUUUUGACGCAGUGCCAAGUACAGAAGUGCGUUUGUGUUGUCGGGCCGGAGGGAUGUAGGGUUAGGCAUCGUUAUUGGACACAUUACCAGCAGCAUCAGUACCAGCCGCCCCGUUGGGCUCAGUCAGCACCGCACCACCAGCUGCCGUAGAACUGUCUCUCACUGCCCUGCAACACCACCAGCUGCCGUAGAACUGUCUCUCACUGCCCUGCAACACCACCAGCUGCCGUAGAACUGUCUCUCACUGCCCUGCAACACCACCAGCUGCCGUAGAACUGUCUCUCACUGCCCUGCAACACCACCAGCUGCCGUAGAACUGUCUCUCACUGCCCUGCAACACCACCAGCUGCCGUAGAACUGUCUCUCACUGCCCUGCAACACCACCAGCUGCCGUAGAACUGUCUCUCACUGCCCUGCAACACCACCAGCACUUUUGGAGAUUCGGCAUCGGCUCCUCUAUCUAGUCGGCACCUCCCGCUCCCUCCAGAUUCUUCAAGUACUCAACACACUGCCCUAUUAGUGCAGCGGAGGAACACCACCAGCUGCCGUAGAACUGUCUGCCUCACUGCCCUGCAACACCACCAGCUGCCGUAGAACUGUCUGCCUCACUGCCCUGCAACACCACCAGCUGCCGUAGAACUGCCUGCCUCACUGCCCUGCAACACCACCAGCUGCCGUAGAACUGUCUGCCUCACUGCCCUGCAACACCACCAGCUGCUGUAGAACUGUCUCUCACUGCCCUGCAACACCACCAGCUGCCGUAGAACUGUCUCUCACUGCCCUGCAACACCACCAGCUGCCGUAGAACUGCCUGCCUCACUGCCCUGCAACACCACCAGAGCUUUUGGAAAUUCGGCUCCUCUAUCUAGUCGGCACCUCCCGCUCCCUCCAGAUUCUUCAAGUAGUAAGUCAGGGAGAGGGUCACACAGUCAGUGGCUCCUCACCCCCCGGUUUUACUCCUUACCUGCUCCUGCUUUAUUAUCCAUGAAUUGUAAAAAUACACCAACUGAUUACUGUGCAAUCAUGAGCCACAGUUGAGUAGAAAGUCAGUAAUUGGUCUGUUUGUUUUUAUAAUUGAUUGUUAUGAUGUUGUAAUUGCCUGGGAAUCAUGAUUUCUGGUCUUGUACUUCCCUCCCACCUGUUUUAUUGUGCUGCAAAUUAGUUUUUAUUUUAUUAAAUUGUG